rnacentral:tRNA from 1 species
UUUAAUAUGGCAGAAAAAGUGCAAUGAACUUAAAAUUCAUAUAUAAAUAUACUUUAUUUUAUUAAAA